rnacentral:rRNA from 1 species
UACGUAGGGUGCAAGCGUUGUCCGGAAUUAUUGGGCGUAAAGAGCUCGUAGGCGGUUUGUUGCGUCGGCUGUGAAAUCCCGAGGCUCAACCUCGGGUCUGCAGUCGAUACGAGCAAACUAGAGUGUUGCAGGGGAGACUGGAAUUCCUGGUGUAGCGGUGAAAUGCGCAGAUAUCAGGAGGAACACCCGGUGGGCGAAGGCGGGUCUCGUUGGGCAACAACUGACGCUGGAGGAGCGAAAGCCGUGGGGAGCGAACAGGA